UUAGAGUUUGAUCCUGGCUCAAGAUGAACGCUGGCGGCGUGCUUAACACAUGCAAGUCGAACGGGAAAUAUUUCAUUGAGACUUCGGUGGAUUUGAUCUAUUUCUAGUGGCGGACGGGUGAGUAACGCGUGGGUAACCUGCCUUAUACGGGGGGAUAACAGUCAGAAAUGGCUGCUAAUACCGCAUAAGCGCACAGAGCUGCAUGGCUCAGUGUGAAAAACUCCGGUGGUAUAAGAUGGACCCGCGUUGGAUUAGCUAGUUGGUGGGGUAACGGCCCACCAAGGCGACGAUCCAUAGCCGGCCUGAGAGGGUGAACGGCCACCUUGGGACUGACACACCGCCCCAACCCCUACGGGAGGCCAGCAGUGGGAAAUAUUGCACAAUGGGGGAAACCUUGAUGCAGGGACGCCGCUUGAAGGAAGAAGUAUCUCGGUAUGUAAACUUUUAUCAGCAGGGGAAGAUAGUGACGGUACCUGACUAAGAAGCCCCGGCCUAACUACGUGCCAGCAGCCGCGGUAAUACGUAGGGGGCAAGCGUUAUCCGGAUUUACUGGGUGUAAAGGGAGCGUAGACGGUGUGGCAAGUCUGAUGUGAAAGGCAUGGGCUCAACCUGUGGACUGCAUUGGAAACUGUCAUACUUGAGUGCCGGAGGGGUAAGCGGAAUUCCUAGUGUAGCGGUGAAAUGCGUAGAUAUUAGGAGGAACACCAGUGGCGAAGGCGGCUUACUGGACGGUAACUGACGUUGAGGCUCGAAAGCGUGGGGAGCAAACAG
rnacentral:rRNA from 1 species